rnacentral:rRNA from 1 species
UUGAUCCUACGGGAGGCAGCAGUGAGGAAUAUUGGUCAAUGGGCGGGAGCCUGAACCAGCCAAGCCGCGUGAGGGAAGAAGGUACAGCGUAUCGUAAACCUCUUUUGUCAGGGAACAAAGGCGGGGACUAGUCCCCGGAUGAGGGUACCUGAAGAAAAAGCAUCGGCUAACUCCGUGCCAGCAGCCGCGGUAAUACGGAGGAUGCGAGCGUUAUCCGGAGUGACUGGGUGUAAAGAGUUGCGUAGGUGGCAUAAUAAGUAGCUAGUGAAAUCUGGUGGCUCAACCAUUCAGACUAUUAGCUAAAA